rnacentral:rRNA from 1 species
AGAGUUUGAUCAUGGCUCAGAAUCAACGCUGGCGGCGCGCCUAACACAUGCAAGUCGAACGAGAAAGCGGGAGCAAUCUCGCAAGUACAGUGGCGUACGGGUGAGUAACACGUGGAUGAUCUGCCCUGGAGUGGGGAAUAACGCUGGGAAACCGGCGCUAAUACCGCAUAUUCCCGAGAGGGGAAAGCAGCAAUGCGCUCGAGGAGGAGUCCGCGGCCGAUUAGCUAGUUGGCAGGGUAAAAGCCUACCAAGGCUAUGAUCGGUAGCCGGCCUGAGAGGGCACACGGCCACACUGGCACUGAAACACGGGCCAGACUCCUACGGGAGGCAGCAGUGGGGAAUCUUGCACAAUGGGGGAAACCCUGAUGCAGCGACGCCGCGUGAGCGAUGAAGCCCUUCGGGGUGUAAAGCUCUUUCGGCAGGGAAGAUUAUGACGGUACCUGCAGAAGCAGCUGCGGCUAACUACGUGCCAGCAGCCGCGGUAAUACGUAGGCAGCAAGCGUUGUUCGGAGUUACUGGGCGUAAAGGGUGUGUAGGCGGCCUGUUAAGUUCCGUGUGAAAUCUCCCGGCUCAACCGGGAGGGUGCGCGGAAUACUGACGGGCUAGAGUGCGGGAUGGGAGAGUAGAAUUCCUGGUGUAGCGGUGAAAUGCGUAGAUAUCAGGAGGAAUACCGGUGGUGUAGACGGCUCUCUGGACCGUAACUGACGCUGAGACACGAAAGCGUGGGUAGCAAACAGGAUUAGAUACCCUAGUAGUCC